UACGUAGGGGGCAAGCGUUGUCCGGAAUUAUUGGGCGUAAAGAGCGUGUAGGCGGUCCGGUAAGUCCGUUGUGAAAGUCAAGGGCUCAACCCUUGAAUGCCGGCGGAUACUGUCGGGCUAGAGUCCGGAAGAGGCGAGUGGAAUUCCCGGUGUAGCGGUGAAAUGCGCAGAUAUCGGGAGGAACACCUAUGGCGAAGGCAGCUCGCUGGGACGGCACUGACGCUGAGACGCGAAAGCGUGGGGAGCAAACAGG
rnacentral:rRNA from 1 species